rnacentral:misc_RNA from 1 species
GUGAAUCAUCAAAUUUUUGAACGCAAAUUGCACUCUCUUCGGAGAGUAUGCCUGUUUGAGGGUCAGCCUAAAAAAAAUCGACAUUGUUGCUGUUAUUUAAUGGUGACUUUCGUCGGAGAUUGGGUUAUCUUAAACCUUUUUUUUUUUUGUUUAAAGGGAUUAAAAUUUUUUUUUACCGUUCCCUUGAAGGUUCUAAGGUUUUUUUUUUUUUUUCUUUU